rnacentral:rRNA from 2 species
AAAGGUAAGCUACUAAGAGCGAAUGGUGGAUGCCUUGACUGGUAAAGGCGAUGAAGGACGUACUAGACUGCGAUAAGCUACGGGGAGCUGUCAAGAAGCUUUGAUCCGUAGAUUUCCGAAUGGGGCAACCCAAUGUAUAGAGAUAUACAUUACCUAUAUAGGAGCGAACGAGGGGAAUUGAAACAUCUUAGUACCCUCAGGAAAAGAAAUCAAUAGAGAUUGCGUCAGUAGCGGCGAGCGAAAGCGCAAGAGGGCAAACCCAGUGCUUGCACUGGGGGUUGUAGGACUGCAAUGUGCAAGAGGUAAGUUUAGCAGAACAUUCUGGAAAGUAUAACCAUAGAGGGUGAUAGUCCCGUAUGCGAAAAACAAACCUUAGCUAGCAGUAUCCUGAGUAGGGCGGGACACGAGGAAUCCUGUCUGAAUCUGGGUCGACCACGAUCCAACCCUAAAUACUAAUACCAGAUCGAUAGUGCACAAGUACCGUGAGGGAAAGGUGAAAAGAACUGAGGUGAUCAGAGUGAAAUAGAACCUGAAACCAUUUGCUUACA